ACUGAAGUCUGCAGGAUGGUAGCUCCCAGGAGCAGGGUUGGAGAUCCCUGGCCUACAGUGUCUCUUCUCCUACAAGUAAAAUCAUUAAUGAUGGAGCAGCUCCUGAAGGCAUGGAGAGCAUGAAACCAAGGCAGUCGUGACAAGAAGAGGAAAGGUUUUUUCCCCCUGCAGACCACUCUCACCUGCAGCUCAUCACAAUUAUACAAGGUCUAAAAUGUAACUGAAGCAAUGAUUGUGUUCUGUGGUAAAGGAGCCAAGAACAAGCAAGAAAAAAAGCAACUGAGAGAAAGUACAAAGACUUCUGAAAUACAUACCACAAACUGUACCCGCAAGAUAGAAGAGAUUUUCAUCUUUUUUUUUUUUAACCUACCAC
ensembl:lncRNA